GUGCGUAUAAUUUAAAAAAAUACUAGAUUGUGAUUCUAAAAAUGAAAGUUAAACUCUCUCUAUGCACC
rnacentral:tRNA from 1 species